rnacentral:rRNA from 1 species
GUGGGGAAUCUUGCGCAAUGGGCGAAAGCCUGACGCAGCAACGCCGCGUGGGGGAUGAAGGCUUUCGGGUUGUAAACCCCUUUCAGCAGGGACGAUUAUGACGGUACCUGCAGAAGAAGGACCGGCCAACUACGUGCCAGCAGCCGCGGUAAUACGUAGGGUCCAAGCGUUGUCCGGAUUUAUUGGGCGUAAAGAGCUCGUAGGUGGUUCGCUAAGUCGGAUGUGAAAACUCGGGGCUCAACCCCGAGACGCCAUCCGAUACUGGCGUGACUUGAGUCUGGUAGGGGAGAUCGGAAUUCCUGGUGUAGCGGUGAAAUGCGCAGAUAUCAGGAGGAACACCGGUGGCGAAGGCGGAUCUCUGGGCCAGUACUGACACUGAGGAGCGAAAGCGUGGGUAGCAAACAGGAUUAGAAACCCGUGUAGUCC